GUAGGGUCCAAGCGUUAAUCGGAAUUACUGGGCGUAAAGCGUGCGCAGGCGGUUUUGUAAGUCUGUCGUGAAAUCCCCGGGCUCAACCUGGGAAUUGCGAUGGAGACUGCAAGGCUAGAAUCUGGCAGAGGGGGGUAGAAUUCCACGUGUAGCAGUGAAAUGCGUAGAGAUGUGGAGGAACACCGAUGGCGAAGGCAGCCCCCUGGGUCAGGGUUGACGCUCAUGCACGAAAGCGUGGGGAGCAACCAGGAUUAGAUACCCUGGUAGUCCACGCCCUAAACGAUGUCUACUAGUUGUCGGGUUUUAAUUAACUUGGUAACGCAGCUAACGCGUGAAGUAGACCGCCUGGGGAGUACGGUCGCAAGAUUA
rnacentral:rRNA from 1 species